UUGUAUGGUCUCCCAAAAGGAUUUUAUAAAAUUAAAAUUAAAACUAUCUGGACCCUGGCACUUUGAGCUCCCACAACUCCACACGGCCUCCCUUACCUCCUCAACACCAAACUUGGCCAUAAAAAGCUCAUUAUCAAUGAUUGAAAUUUGAUUGAACUUGACCCCAAUCCAAAAACCAACAAUCCAAUAUUCUAAAAGGUUUUGGCCCCCAAUUGACAAAGAAGCUUUGAACCACAAUAGUACAAUAAUCGCAAAUAUUCCUUUGCAAGACAUAUUGUGCACUUUCUGGCCAAAGGCUUAUCCACUCAUUUGACACAAUAGUUCUAUCAAUCCUUAUUUCUAGCCUUACCAUUUGGUCUAUACGAAGUGAAGUUCCUCCCUACCAAAGGAGAAGGGGUAUUGUUAUUCCAAAUUGGGACUUCAAAUGCCCUCUGUGUGGUUUGACAGAGGAGUCAGUAGCUCAUGUGCUUAUUUCGUGCGAGGUGGCUUGCGGCAUUUGGUGACACCGCUACAACACUUUUGGCAACACAUCAUUAAUCAAGGUACCGGAGGACGUGAACAAAAGAUGGAGGAUUAUAUGGGUGGCAGUAGCUUGGGUGUUAUGAAAUUGGAGGAAUAAUUUAGUGUUUAGAAAUGCUUCUUUUCACGUGGAUAAGGUGGUAAAUGAUAUACUUUUCCAUAGUUGGUCAUGGAUUAGAUCUAGUGAGCAGCAGUUUCAAUAUUCCUUUGUACAAUGGGAAAUUUGUCCAGGGGCUUGCCUUAUGAAAUCAUAGUAGGGUCUGGUGGUGAAACUACUGCUGGUGUAGCAAUUAUUAAUCUCCUAAGAUUUUGGUGAAACUACUGCAUCAUGUGCUUAGCAUGUGCAGGUGUUGGUUUUAGCAAGCUUUAAGUGUUUUUAAUGUAGAUUUAAUCAUGUUAAGCAGGGCAGCUCCCUAUUAUUGGCAUAUAGUAAUUGUAACAGGUUUAUGUGUAUUCUGUCAUUUGGGCACUUCUUGUGCUGUUGACUUAAUAUACAAGAUCUUUUGCCUAUUUUUUUUAAAAAA